GGGUUGUGAGGUUAAGCGACUAAGCGUACACGGUGGAUGCCCUGGCAGUCAGAGGCGAUGAAGGACGUGCUAAUCUGCGAAAAGCGCCGGCGAGGUGAUAUGAACCUUUGACCCGGCGAUGUCCGAAUGGGGAAACCCAGUGCAAUUCGUUGCACUAUCGUUAACUGAAUACAUAGGUUAACGAGGCGAACCGGGGGAACUGAAACAUCUAAGUACCCCGAGGAAAAGAAAUCAACCGAGAUUCCCCCAGUAGCGGCGAGCGAACGGGGAGCAGCCCAGAGUCUGAAUCAGCUUGUGUGUUAGUGGAAGCGUCUGGAAAGUCGCACGGUACAGGGUGACAGUCCCGUACACGAAAGCACACAGGUUGUGAACUCGAAGAGUAGGGCGGGACACGUGGUAUCCUGUCUGAAUAUGGGGGGACCAUCCUCCAAGGCUAAAUACUCCUGACUGACCGAUAGUGAACCAGUACCGUGAGGGAAAGGCGAAAAGAACCCCGGCGAGGGGAGUGAAAAAGAACCUGAAACCGUGUACGUACAAGCAGUGGGAGCACC
rnacentral:rRNA from 1 species